AGGAUGCAGCGGGAAGAGCUGUGAAGCUUUUCUGAACCUUGGCCUGGUGCUUGCACGCAGAGGCUGGGGGGGGGGAGGUGUGGGCGGUGUGUUGUGAUCCAGGCUGGGAAAGCAAGAAGGCAGGGAAGAGCCUACAGACCUGAGAAGAGGGAGACUUGAAGUUGGUGGGAACCUUGAAGGGACUUGGGGCCAGGAGGAGGAGAGAUGAGGCUGACAGUGCUAGUUUUGGGCUGAAGACUGAGAAGUGACUGCAAGUGAAGGGGGAAUUGGUGGUCUGCAGCAGCAGUGGGAAGGGAAAUGAGACCAGAUGGAGAGCAGCCCCACCACUUGCUUUGGAUGCCAGCCAGCCCUGUCAAAUGCUUAACAAGAAUUGCAGGAUUGUGAGAAAUGCUUCACAGAUGUGUGGGAGACACGAAGCUGAAACAGUCUGGCGCUACUGCAGGCACCAACAGACGUUGGGGCGAAGCAGCAAAUCAAUAUAGAAGUGAAUUUGCUGAAUGAAAACAGGCUUUGUUUAUUGUAACAUCAGCAUCAGGACCAGGUUAGAGGUGCUUUCUGUCUUGUGGUGUGCAGAGGAGGCCGGUGGCUGUUCCACUGGAUCUUUCUGGAUUUAAUGUUCAUUAUCGUGGUUACUUGCAACUGUUGGAAGACUAGACUUUGAGAGUCAGUUGGUUCCUUUCUGUUCUAUGUUUCCUUUGCACCUCAGCCACUGAUCUGCUGUAUGACCUUGGGCAAGUCAGGUAACCACCCCUGUGCCUCAGUUCCCAUCACUGUGAGGGAGCUGAGGCUGGAGCGGCACCUUGUACAGCUGGAGCAGCUGAACUGUGCCCCUCAGAAGCAGAAGAUAAUAAAGUUCCUCACUUCUACACACCUAACACACUGAUUUCUGCCUGAACAGACUGCAUCCCACUGGUGCUUCUCUGCUACAGCCCAUCGUGUAAAUUAUUCAGAGGUUUCUGGUGGACUUUGGCAUUACAUAAUGAAAUCUUA